CAGCCGCCGCGGGAAUACGGAGGGGGCUAGCGUUGUUCGGAAUUACUGGGCGUAAAGGGCGCGUAGGCGGACAGUUCAGUCGGGGGUGAAAGCCCGGGGCUCAACCUCGGAAUUGCCUUCGAUACUGGCUGUCUUGAGUAUGAGAGAGGUGUGUGGAACUCCGAGUGUAGAGGUGAAAUUCGUAGAUAUUCGGAAGAACACCAGUGGCGAAGGCGACACACUGGCUCAUUACUGACGCUGAGGCGCGAAAGCGUGGGGAGCAAACAGGAUUAGAUACCCGGGUAGUCCCUGUCUCUUAUAC
rnacentral:rRNA from 1 species